AACCCCAAUUUGACUAUUUCGAGAUUCUCAAGAUGUGGCUGAAUGAUCUUCUUUUCAUGCUCAAGUAGACGAGUAAUCUCGUCAGGAAUCUCUUCAACAUCAUCUUCCUCUGCCUCAAAUAUAGGGAACUCAAAAUUGGGAGAUGGCGUUGGAUCAUUAUGUUCAAUGGGUUUAGAAAUCAACCUGCAUAAUGAUUUUGGAGAUGAAAAGCUUUU
rnacentral:lncRNA from 1 species